rnacentral:rRNA from 1 species
UGCGUAGGCGGGUUUCUAAGUCAGAGGUGAAAGCCUGGAGCUCAACUCCAGAACUGCCUUUGAUACUGGAAGUCUUGAGUAUGGCAGAGGUGAGUGGAACUGCGAGUGUAGAGGUGAAAUUCGUAGAUAUUCGGAAGAACACCAGUGGCGAAGGCGGCUCACUGGCUCGUAACUGACGCUGAGGUGCGAAAGCGUGGGGAGCAAACA